GACGAACGCUUGCGGCGUGCCUAAGAAAUGCAAGUCGAGCGGGAGUAGCAAUACUCUAGCGGCGAACGGUCGCGUAACACGUAAGCAACCUGCCCCGAAGACCGGGACAACAUCUCGAAAGGGGUGCUAAUACCGGAUGUGGCCAUCGGAGGACAUCCUCUGGUGAUUAAACCGAGCAAUCGGCUUCGGGAGGGGCUUGCGGCCUAUCAGCUAGUUGGUGGGGUAACGGCCUACCAAGGCGACGACGGGUAGCUGGUCUGAGAGGACGGCCAGCCGG
rnacentral:rRNA from 1 species